CCCUCUGGUGGGGAAUAACCCUGGGAAACCGGGGCUAAUACCGCAUAAGUCCGAAAGGAGAAUGCAGCAAUGCGCCGGAGGAGGAGCCCGCGGCCGAUUAGCUGGUUGGUAGGGUAAUGGCCUACCAAGGCGAUGAUCGGUAGCCGGCCUGAGAGGGCACACGGCCACACUGGCACUGAAACACGGGCCAGACUCCUACGGGAGGCAGCAGUGGGGAAUCUUGCACAAUGGGGGAAACCCUGAUGCAGCGACGCCGCGUGAGCGAUGAAGCCCUUCGGGGUGUAAAGCUCUUUCGGCAGGAACGAUUAUGACGGUACCUGCAGAAGAAGCUGCGGCUAACUACGUGCCAGCAGCCGCGGUAAUACGUAGGCAGCAAGCGUUGUUCGGAGUUACUGGGCGUAAAGAGUGUGUAGGCGGUCCUCUAAGUUUGGUGUGAAAUCUCCCGGCUCAACCGGGAGGGUGCGCCGAAAACUGGGGGGCUUGAGUGCGGGAGAGGAGAGCGGAAUUCCUGGUGUAGCGGUGAAAUGCGUAGAUAUCAGGAGGAACACCCGCGGUGUAGACGGUUCUCUGGACCGCCACUGACGCUGAGACACGAAAGCGUGGGGAGCAAACAGGAUUAGAUACCCUGGUAGUCCACGCCCUAAACGAUGCACACUUGGUGUGGGCAGUUCAUUCUGUCCGUGCCGGAGCUAACGCGUUAAGU
rnacentral:rRNA from 1 species